rnacentral:tRNA from 1 species
GCCUGGGUGGCUCAGUUGGUGGAGCGUCGACUUCAGCUCAGAUCAUGGUCUCGUGGUUCGUGGGUUCGAACCCCGUGUCGGGCU